CCUACGGGAGGCAGCAGUGGGGAAUAUUGCACAAUGGGCGAAAGCCUGAUGCAGCGACGCCGCGUGAGGGAUGACGGCCUUCGGGUUGUAAACCUCUUUCAGCAGGGAAGAAGCGAAAGUGACGGUACCUGCAGAAGAAGCGCCGGCUAACUACGUGCCAGCAGCCGCGGUAAUACGUAGGGCGCAAGCGUUGUCCGGAAUUAUUGGGCGUAAAGAGCUCGUAGGCGGCUUGUCACGUCGGUUGUGAAAGCCCGGGGCUUAACCCCGGGUCUGCAGUCGAUACGGGCAGGCUAGAGUGUGGUAGGGGAGAUCGGAAUUCCUGGUGUAGCGGUGAAAUGCGCAGAUAUCAGGAGGAACACCGGUGGCGAAGGCGGAUCUCUGGGCCAUUACUGACGCUGAGGAGCGAAAGCGUGGGGAGCGAACAGGAUUAGAUACCCUGGUAGUCCACGCCGUAAACGGUGGGAACUAGGUGUUGGCGACAUUCCACGUCGUCGGUGCCGCAGCUAACGCAUUAAGUUCCCCGCCUGGGGNGACGCGCAGACAACACAAGAAGUAGAGCGNGAGACGNGCGACGACGACGACGAGGAGGAGG
rnacentral:rRNA from 1 species